CCCUGCCUGGGUCACCAUGUGAA
rnacentral:miRNA from 14 species